rnacentral:rRNA from 1 species
AUUGAACGCUGGCGGCAUGGUUAAAGCAUGCAAGUCGAACGAGAACCCGCCUUCGGGCGGGGGACAGUGGCGAAAGGGUGAGUAAUGCGCUCCUUAUGUGCCCCGAGGUGGGGGAUAGGUCGGGGAAACCCGGCAUAAUACCCCAUGUGCUCUACGGAGGAAAGGUUUUCCGCCUCGGGAGCAGGGAGCGUCCUAUCAGGUUGUUGGUGAGGUAACGGCUCACCAAGCCUUAGACGGGUAGCGGGUGUGAGAGCAUGACCCGCCGCAUCGGGACUGAGACACUGCCCGGACUCCUACGGGAGGCUGCAGCGACGAAUCUUCCGCAAUGCGCGAAAGCGUGACGGAGCAAUGCCGCGUGCGGGAUGAAGCGGCUCCGCCGUGUAAACCGCUGUCAGGGGCUAGAAAUAUUGAUCAACCCCAAAGGAAGGGCCGGCUAACCUCGUGCCAGCAGCCGCGGUAAUACGAGGGGCCCGAGCGUUAAUCGGAAUCACUGGGCUUAAAGGGUGCGCAGGCGGAUGCGCAAGCGUCCUGUGAAAUACCUCAGCUCAACUGAGGAAUUGCAGGGCGAACUGCGUGUCUGAG